rnacentral:rRNA from 1 species
CCGGCGACCGGCGGACGGUGCGUAACGCGUAUGUAACCUACCUUUGACAGGGGGAUAACAUCGAGAAAUUGGUACUAAUACCCCAUAACAUCACCGGAGGCAUCUUCGGUGGUUGAAAACUCAGGUGGUCAGAGAUGGACAUGCGUUGUAUUAGCUAGUUGGUGAGGUAACGGCUCACCAAGGCGACGAUACAUAGGGGGACUGAGAGGUCAACCCCCCACAUUGGUACUGAGACACGGACCAAACUCCUACGGGAGGCAGCAG